GGAAGGGUGCUCCGAAUGGCUAAGGAACCGGUCUUGAAAACCGGCGCCCGCAAGGGCUUGUGAGUUCGAGUCUCACCCCCACCGCUA
rnacentral:tRNA from 1 species